rnacentral:lncRNA from 1 species
UUUAUCUCAAGGAUGUAAUUAAACCAUUAAUUGCUUAAUUGCAAUUAUUUAGAAUGCUCGACUUCCGGUGCAGUGCAAAUAUGAAUAAGUUUGACUUGAUCAAAUCAAGUUAAUUAAUUCACUUUUGAAUCAAAUUCAUGAUGUUAAAAAAAAAAAAAACUCCUAAAUACGAGUAUAAACUAUUUACAAAAUCCAAAGAAAUUCAAGAACUCCUAAAUACGAGUAUAAACUAUUUAAAAUUCCAAAAUCAAAUGAAGAACUCCUAAAUACGAGUAUAAACUAUUUAUAAAUCCAAAGAAAUUCAAGAACUCCUAAAUAUGAGUAUAAACUAUUUAUAAAUUCAAAUUCAAGUCAAGAAC